UACAUCAGCUGGUGCUGCAGUAAGAUCUUCUGUGGAAUGACUAUAACCCCAGCCCAAGAAGCUGUAUUCUGCUUGUCUCCUCGUGCCUCCUCUGAGCCAAUCUGUGAGUCUUCUAGUCUGUCAGCUCUUGAUCUUUUAGACUCCGAAGUAAAAUGAGUAAAAAGCUAUCCCUGUGAGAACCUUUAAUUAGCAACAUUCUCAGCAUAUCACAGGAUGAAAGCAGCAGUCAGUGUAGGGCCACCACUAUCAGAAUCACCCGGCAAAGUCACCCAGGAAACCACGGAGUCCCUGCAGGCUAAAGUCUCAUCAACGACUGUCUUCUGUGGGAGACAUUCUGCUGGCUCUGCAGAGGACAAAGAAGACAGGAAAGAAGAAAAUGAGACAGCAAUCAGAAAGGAGAGACGCAUAUUGAAUCUUGCUGAACAGCCCAGUGAGAGAUCAUUUAGUUUUAAUGCUUUAGGAAGAAAGCUGAGCCUUAUAAAGUCACUUUCUUGUAUGGCUUACAUGGAGUGUCAGAAAAGGCUUGGAAAUGUUUGCAGCAGUGUCAAAAUAAGCAGGGAAUGAAUUGUGAGCACACCAAAAGCAGGACGGAAUUUCUCAGAAUGAUGCAGUGCCUCUGCCUCUUCCUGUAAUGCUUAGACCUCGUGAGAGAUGGCUGAGCAAAAACAAGUGACAUUCUUAGUGUCUUGCUUUGAAAUCACUCAGCAUAGGAGAUAAUUAUGAUAAUGUACAGAACAGCUUUUUCUUCUGUCAACUUUCCUCUUCAUCAGUCUAUUAUUUUCCCCAACAGAAUGAUGGGUAGCAAUAUGAGUCCCCAUUAUUUCUCUCUUUUGAAUACCAUUAAUUCUCACCCAACCGCAUUUAAUUAAGGGAAUGUAUAUUGAUACACAUAGCUUAAUCAGGUCAGGGAGUGGAGCUGAAAUUGAUUGAGGACAGCUCUUUCACACUUAUCUCAAUUUAUGAAUGCUCAGACGCAGACAGAGAGUGAAAGGGUUUAAUUUCCAUUUGUGUUGUUUGCACGUUCUUUAUAAUGUAAGCAUCGAUCGAGCAUUCUCAGUGUCAGUGUGCAGAGAUCAAGCAUAGCCAUUUUUCAUAAACGAAGGUCACAGGUCGAUCUUGAGCAAGUUCCAAGCAAUCUAGUUAUAGAAAUGUAUUCAUAUUCGAUCAACUAUGACAUGAAAGAUUGGAGAUCCGGAAAAUUAACACCGGGAAAGCAACGCAGCUUCGGCUCUGGAAUGGCACCUUCUGGGAAGCAAAUGCCAAAGGAAAAUCAAGUAAGGAGACUGUGCUCACUAAUGUCAACCAGAGAUGGAAACUAAUGGCGACUCAUUGCUGAUCACACUACCCUGACCUCAGAUGCCAUGGAGAGGAGUUCACAGUAAACCACCCACGGUGGAGUGGGAAGUGUGAUCCACCCAUAGAAAGAGCAGUAAAUGUUUGUGCACAAUAAAACAGUCUCCACCAGA